rnacentral:misc_RNA from 1 species
AAACAAGAGCCUUUUAGAGGUGAGGUAAUAAUACCUGAUUUAAACUCAAAAUUUUAGAAAUAAGAUGUUGUGCAUCCUCAAAUUGUAGUUUCCAAGAUGGCUAGAGUUUGGCUGCCACAACUAUAACCUGAUGUCCAUGCUGAUCUAAAGCCUUUGGUAAAGACCCAGUAACAUUCAUGACAAUGACCUAGGCCAAAGGAGGUAGUUGUAUGUCUUCAGUCACUGGAUCAGUUCCAACAUUAUCAACCUUAAGUAAAGUGAAUUUAUCUGAACCUUCCAUGUUUCCAUCAUUUAUAGUGGAGAUUUCUGAGGUGUUUGAAAGAAACGAUGUCAUCGCAUCCAACCAAAAUUUCUCUGAAGUCAUCUCUUUUAACUAUUUGGUCAAAUUCUUAAUAAAGGAAGCUGUUUGAGGGGAUACAUGUUCAAGUUCCUUUUCAUAUUUAACAUGACUUCUAUUGAUAUCUGAAGAAGCAAUUUCUGCUACCUCAUCUAAAAUUGCAUGACAUGGCUGCUGGGAAGAAGAAAAGUGCCAAUAUGUUGUUCAAGCAUAUUGAAAUCACUAGUUGAAGUACUAUCUGAAUUUGGCAAAGAGUUCUUCUUCUAUUCAUAAGAAGUUUUGUCCACUUCGUGGUCAACACUGCUGCUUUGUAUAGCAGAACCUAAUUUUCUUCUUUCAGCAAGAGAAGAACCUUCAACUGCGCUCUCAAUUCCAUGUUAUGAGGAUUCCCAAUCCCAACUUCCUGCAAAAUAUUAUCAUCAGCAACAUAACCCCCAUCACCAUCCAUGACCGCUCCAACUCUUGUCACACCCUCCACCAA